GUGGGUAAUUAAGUCUCAACAAACUAAUUUAAAAAUGGGAAAGAGUAAGGGUUUCUCUGCGAUGCAGAUGCUUUCCAUUUUCCUCAUCUCUAUCACCAUUCUUCUUACUCUCGCCCUUUCAGAUGAUCAAUUUGACUAUUAUGUGUACACCCCGCCUCAUGAUGGAUCCGUCCAGCCCCCUGGAAGUGUAGCGAGUUUGAAGCAGCCAUGACGCAGAUCACUAGAAGCAUGGAUCUCCCAUACUAAAUCAUUUUCUUUCCCAGAUUCCAGUUACUCAAAUAAAUUAUUAAUAACUAAAGAUUAAAUAAAUAUGGGUUGGAAUUGAAGUAGUGGGCAAAAUCAAAUGAGGUAAUUAAGUCUCUAUAUAUGUAUGCGUAUUCUGGUUGACUCAAUAAUCUGUUGAUUGAAAUUUGAUAGUAUGAAUACUAAAUCUAUAUCUCUAUAGUGUCUCACUUUGGUGACCCAUUGGCUGUGUUUGUGUUUCACGUUGCAAGUACAAGGCUAUUAUUUUUCUAUUA